rnacentral:lncRNA from 1 species
UCCGGGGUGGGGGGAGGCCAGAAGGAGGGCUCUGCUUCCUUGAAUGAGGAGAGUAGUCAGUCGCCGGUGCCACCACAAACAAGACCAAAGUUCUCCCCUCCAGGCAGAGAGGCCCCCUCAGGGCGCUCACUAUCUCACCAAUUCAGGGGCCCCGUGUGGGGACCCUGUUUCUACUCCUUCCUGCGCUCCCCCUGCGCUGGAGGGGCUCCCGUCCCCCAGCAGGCAAGGGCACUGAACCCUGCCUUGGCUUCUUGGGGCUCCGGGGCUCCUGGCCCGGCUGGGCCCCUCACCCUUGCAAGGCUCCACGCACGCCGUCCCGUGGCCCCUGUGUGGCCAGCUCUUGUCAGACCUGAGGUCCUUGCAGGUGCUGUUCCCUUGCAGGUGGAGGACAUUCCCCCUCCCGGCCUGAGCCCUUCGCCCCUCACAGCCCUCCCAUCAGCUGGCCUCGCCCUGCCAACACCCCCCCCCAUCCCGAGGGGUCCUGAAGGGCCAGCAGAGACCACGCAGCCAUGUGCCCUUGUUGCUGGAGCCGCUGCCCGCCCGCCAGAGUGGGUGCCCGCCACCCUCCUGGAGGCGCAGGCCGCGCCGGGACCCCGCACUGACCAGAGCACCUGCUCGGCCUCCCGCUGCUGCCAUGGCCGCUGGACAUCUUUACCCUGGAGUCAAGAUUUGUCUUGGAGACUCCAUGCCCAGUGCAGAGCCCACCUGGGGGUUUGAACUCCUGACCCUGAGCUCAAGGCCUGAGCUGAGAUCAAGAGUCAGACCCUCAACCCGCAGAGCUGCCCAGGUGCCCCAAAGGUGUUGUUUUGAAUGCCAUCUGCCAGCAACCUAAAUGUUCAAUAUUAUGAGAUUGCAUCAAAGUGUGGUUCUGGUGAUCCUUAACCAUUUCUUCUUCUUGCUCCUUUCGUUGACUUUUAUUUUCUAAGGAGAAUGCAUGCUUUUUAGAAUCACCAUAAAGCUAUUUGUACUUUACAAACAAGUCUGGCCACGCAAUGACACCCGUUUCCCCCGUUAUCUUUUUUUUUUUUUUUUUUUUCCCCCGUUAUCUUAAAUUGCUGUCUGGGAGCAGCAGAGUUUGUCGGGCUGGGAAUGAGCAGCCCCAGGCUGCGUGUGUGCAAACUUCCAGCAACCGCCGGCUUCCCACGUGCAGAGGAGGCCAGUCUGCUCUGUGCACAGGCCCACACGUGGAUGCGGAUCCUAGGCUCCUUAAGGGAGAGGCCUCCUGGGUGGAGAGACACAGAAUGGGGCUGUGGCCACGGAGGCGGGGGGCCGGGGUCCCCAACAAGUAUGAGUAAGUGGGGGAAAUAAACAUAGUUUCAGGCCCCUUAAGUCUCCUGCG